CCUGUUUGGCAUAAUUUGCCAGUGCCUGCCCUUUGGAAGCUUAGAAGGUUCCUUGUGCUAAUUUUCAUCUCACAGAAUAUGAAUCAAUUCCAUGAAGUAUUUUAUAGAAGAACGGAUCAAAGCUCCAGAUAGGCUGAAGAAACUACAGAGCUCUAGAUGCUGGUGACAACUGCCAACCCUUCAUCUUAAUGGACUGCAAAUAUCAACACAUCAGAAAAUUCCCAGCCAAGCUGGAAACAUUUUCAGCACUUGUAAAACAUUCACAAAUGCCAGCAGGCAGUUCUAAAAAUCAGAAUCACUCCAUCCUGCUCCCUGGUACGCAUAACCCAUAUACAUGGCAGGGGAAGGAAGAUAUCUGUUUUACACAGGCUGUGCAUUUCUGGCAGUACGCAGCUUUGCCACUCAUCUCAGAGCAAGGACAAAGACUUGGUGUACCCCUGAGGGGCUAUCCCAGUUCAGAGGAGACCCAAGAGGAGCAGGGAGGAGUAGGAGAACACAGCCUGCACCCAGGAGGAUGCUGAGACACCAGCCAUUUAGACUGGCUCAUCCUAACUGACAUGCAGUUUCCCACAGCUGGAAAGAAGUACUAAGCUACAGUUAUUUGAAAAGCUUAUCAACUGGGGCUGAAAAUUCCCACAGAUAAGUCUUGCGCUAUGGAAGACAGUGACAAAA